rnacentral:rRNA from 1 species
UACGUAGGGUGCGAGCGUUAAUCGGAAUUACUGGGCGUAAAGCGUGCGCAGGCGGUUUUGUAAGACAGGGGUGAAAUCCCCGGGCUUAACCUGGGAACUGCGCUUGUGACUGCAAGACUCGAGUACGGCAGAGGGGGGUAGAAUUCCACGUGUAGCAGUGAAAUGCGUAGAGAUGUGGGGGAAUACCGAUGGCGAAGGCAGCCCCCUGGGUCGAUACUGACGCUCAUGCACGAAAGCGUGGGGAGCAAACAGG